AACAGAAAAAAAGAAGAAGAAAAAUACAAAUUCAAAUACAAACACAAAACCAAAAACAAUCAUGAAGUUUUUCCUUUUGGUCUGCUGCACUCUUGUGUUUCUCGGAAUCUGUG
rnacentral:ribozyme from 17 species